rnacentral:rRNA from 1 species
AGAGUUUGAUCAUGGCUCAGGAUGAACGCUGGCGGUAUGCCUAACACAUGCAAGUCGUACGAGGGUUUUUAACCCUAGUGGCGGACGGGUGAGUAACACGUGAGAAUUUGCCUUUAGGAGGGGGAUAACAAUCGGAAACGAAUGCUAAUACCCCAUAUGCUUUUGAGUGAAAUGGAUCUAUCCGCCUAAAGAGAAGCUCGCGGCUGAUUAGCUUGUUGGUGAGGUAAGAGCUUACCAAGGCGACGAUCAGUAUCUGGUUUGAGAGGACGAUCAGACACACUGGAACUGAGACACGGUCCAGACUCCUACGGGAGGCAGCAGUGGGGAAUUUUCCGCAAUGGGCGAAAGCCUGACGGAGCAAUACCGCGUGAGGGAAGACUGCCUAUGGGUUGUAAACCUCUUUUUUCAGGGAGGAACAAAAUGACGUGUACCUGAAGAAUAAGCAUCGGCUAACUCCGUGCCAGCAGCCGCGGUAAGACGGAGGAUGCAAGUGUUAUCCGGAAUCACUGGGCGUAAAGCGUCUGUAGGUGGUUUAAUAAGUCAACUGUUAAAUCUUGAGGCUCAACUUCAAAAUCGCAGUCGAAACUAUUAGACUAGAGUAUAGUAGAGGUAAAGGGAAUUUCCAGUGGAGCGGUGAAAUGCGUAGAUAUUGGAAAGAACACCGAUGGCGAAAGCACUUUACUGGGCUAUUACUAACACUCAGAGACGAAAGCUAGGGUAGCAAAUGGGAUUAGAUACCCCAGUAGUCCUAGCCGUAAACUAUGGAUACUAGAUGUUG